rnacentral:rRNA from 1 species
GACCUCAAAUCAGGUAGGAUUACCCGCUGAACUUAAGCAUAUCAAUAAGCGGAGGAAAAGAAACUAACAAGGAUUCCCCUAGUAACUGCGAGUGAAGCGGGAAAAGCUCAAAUUUAAAAUCUGGCGGUUUCACCGUCCGAGUUGUAAUCUAGAGAAGUGUUAUCCGUGCUGGACCGUGUACAAGUCUCUUGGAAUAGAGCGUCAUAGAGGGUGAGAAUCCCGUCUUUGCCACGGACUGCCAGUGCAUUGUGAUGCGCUCUCAACGAGUCGAGUUGUUUGGGAAUGCAGCUCAAAACGGGUGGUAAACUCCAUCUAAAGCUAAAUAUUGGCGAGAGACCGAUAGCGAACAAGUACCGUGAGGGAAAGAUGAAAAGAACUUUGGAAAGAGAGUUAAACAGUACGUGAAAUUGUUGAAAGGGAAACGC